UGACCUCGGAUCAGGUAGGGAUACCCGCUGAACUUAAGCAUAUCAAUAAGCGGGAGGAAAAGAAACCAACAGGGAUUACCUCAUACGGGGCG
rnacentral:rRNA from 1 species